ACCGCGAGGUGAAGCAAAUCUCGAAAAGAACGUCUCAGUUCGGAUCGCAGGCUGCAACUCGCCUGCGUGAAGUCGGAAUUGCUAGUAAUCGCAGAUCAGCAUGCUGCGGUGAAUACGUUCCCGGGCCUUGUACACACCGCCCGUCACACCAUGGGAGUCGGAAAUGCCCGAAGUCAGUGGCCCAACCGGAAGGAGGGAGCUGCCGAAGGCAGGUCCGGUGACGUGGGGUGAAGUCGUAACAAGGUACC
rnacentral:rRNA from 1 species